UGGGUAGAGUCCAGGUUGGCGGGUCCUGGGGCGGAGUCAGGAUAGGGCGAUCCUGGAAGCUGGGCUUCAGAAGCGUCCAGGGGCCUUACAGGUGCACGCUUCGGUCCUGGAGGCCUUAUCCUAACCUCUCCAUCAGCGCCACCCGUCUGGGGCCCGAAAGGAGGGAGCUUUCCCUCUGUCCUCCAGCCUUUGGACUGUCUCCAAACAAGCCAUUCGUUCACCAAAUACUUAUUAAGCACCUACCAUGUGCCUGACAAGGGAGAUGUAACGGAGACAAGGAAAACCAAUGGGAACAGCCCAGUAAAGGCUCCAUUCCCCAUUUUACAGCUGGGGAAACUGAGUUACAGAGCUUUUCUGCACUGAGUCAUCAGGAGCAAAUGCUAGAUCAGGGUCUCUCUCUCUGCCACCCAGGCCAGAGUGCAGUUGACGCAGGGCAGGGGAGCCCCGAAGUGGAGCAUAGUGUGUCCGGAACUGGUGGGUUCUUGGUCUCACUGACUUCAAGAAUGAAGCCGUGGACCCUCACGGUUCAAGCGAUUCUCCUGCCUCAGCCUCCAGAGUAGCUGGAACUACAGAUGCGCACCACCACGCCCAGGCUGUGCUUCUCAGUGGCUCCCACCAGAUACCUGAUGGUCCUGUCGAUUUGCUGAAUCAUCAACUUCCUAUUCUCUGCCUCUGGCCUGAAUCGAUGUCCCACGUUAUCUGGCUCUCUGUAACACAGAGUCACAAAGUCAAAGUCUUCCUUGGUGAACCAGUUCAUGACAGUAUCGAUGUUCGCACUCCGCUCUGUCUCGUUGCUGUUUGGAGACAGGGUUUCACCAUGUUGGCCAGGCUUGUCUUGAACUCCUGACGUCGUGAUCUGCCUGCUUUGGCCUCCCAAAGUCCUGGGAUUACAGGCAUGAGCCACCGUACCCAGCCACUCUUGAUUAACUUAAUGGAAAUAUUUACAGAGAUUCUUUCUCUUCUGGGUUCUAGCGUCUUAUCUGUAACCUCUGCAGGGGAGUCACUGAGCAGAACGAAGCGAGUUGCCUGAGAUUCUUCAAAGCCCCAGCCCUUUUGGAGGUUACAUUGUUAUUCUCAGAGCCUUUAUGAUGCAUAAUAAAGACCUAGCUUGUACCAA
ensembl:lncRNA LINC02018 long intergenic non-protein coding RNA 2018